rnacentral:rRNA from 1 species
UGGGGAAUAUUGGACAAUGGGCGAAAGCCUGAUCCAACCAUGCCGCGUGUGUGAAGAAGGCCUUUUGGUUGUAAAGCACUUUAAGCGAGGAGGAGGCUACUUGGAUUAAUACUCUAGGAUAGUGGACGUUACUCGCAGAAUAAGCACCGGCUAACUCUGUGCCAGCAGCCGCGGUAAUACAGAGGGUGCGAGCGUUAAUCGGAUUUACUGGGCGUAAAGCGUGCGUAGGCGGCUUCUUAAGUCGGAUGUGAAAUCCCUGAGCUUAACUUAGGAAUUGCAUUCGAUACUGGGAAGCUAGAGUAUGGGAGAGGAUGGUAGAAUUCCAGGUGUAGCGGUGAAAUGCGUAGAGAUCUGGAGGAAUACCGAUGGCGAAGGCAGCCAUCUGGCCUAAUACUGACGCUGAGGUACGAAAGCAUGGGGAGCAAACAGG